GGGGGGAAAGGUUGAGUUGCGGCGGUCCCGGUGCUCCCGAGGUACCCCUCCCGAGCCGCCAGGCUGGAUUUUAUGGGAAUAUCGAUAGAAUUAAAGUUCCUUGUAAUUCCGUGAUAAAUGGGGUGUCUCGAGUAAGUAAGAUGAAGUGCGGCGCUGUGAAGUUGUUUAUCUGAAAAGUAAUUCUCAGAAACCUGACUUCUGACACUUGGUCAUAUAUUAAACCGGCGUCUUGAACGUUGUACUUCAGAUGCUCGUUUUCCCCCUUCCCCUCGCAGUUUGCUAUUUAUAAGACUUUGUAGGUGCGGGUGAGUCGCCGGGUAAUUUUUCACCAACUGUGAAAAGCAUCGUUUGCGACAGCCAAAGAAUCUCUGCUUAGGAAAUAGUACGGGGAGAGCGGGCUCACAAAUGGAUAACAUCUUCCGACUGUGCCAUUAUCGGCAUGAACCCGUGUGGCCGUGCUGCUCCCGGCUGCCCAAAGGCACGGAGGGCACGCUGCAAGGCGAGCAGGAUAACUACGCCUAGACGGGAUCGCAGAGGCGACUGUGCAAAGCUAAAGCGUGCUCCUGACGGCACGAGAGACAUAAGCACAGUCCUGCACGGCCCCAAAGACACACACAGAGCCCCGGACAUCUGCUUGCUUUAUCUUAGAGACUGCAAUUCGUGACAAACCGAAUGCAACUCGGGUUGGCUUUCCUAUUCCUGCACACCAUCGGAACCAACAAAACUUCCCAGCUCGGGGCAUCAAUCCCCCCCAGGACGGCCCCGUUCCCCACGCUUGUUUUUCCCCGGGCGAGAUGAAUGUGGCACUGUAUAUCACUUAACGUGCUCACCUGUGAGAGGCAUAAAAUGUGCGCUGAUAUUUUCAAAUGGAAAGGUUAUUGCUUUUCGGAACGCGCACUCGCAGUAUUUCACUUGCACGUUUGAUGGAUGGCUGUGGAAAUACGGCUCCGGCCCCAUCCCACAGUUUAUUUGGACGGGUGGAUUCAAAGUGCUCCGUUUGCAAACCAGUACAUUUCUGAGUAAACUUGAGACAAAGAGCACGAAUUUGGGUGAGCUGAGGGGGAGCGCCUCUUCCUCGACACCAGUGUGAGCAAGUGCAAGCGGAGCUCUGACCUCCAGAGCAGCCCUGGAAUUAUUGCACAGCAUUGUUCUGGUGUGAUUAUUGCAGAGCUGCCGCCCCAAAACGGCACGGCGUAGCAGAGAGAAAGGAUUAUUAGCAAUUUUUGGAUAACCUUCAGAAGCGGCAGCACUCUCCUCCCUCCCCUCUGUAAUUCUCACUGUAGUGCUAUUUUCCUUUAUUAUUUGGCUAUUCACGACGGGUGUCUAAACAUUUACAGUCCCCUAUUAACAGCGUUUCUCCCUUAACAAUCGCACGCUUUCAUUUCAAUUAGAGCUAUUCAGGCUCGGGUUUUGCCACCAGGCCACGUCCCAGCCCCGCUCCCUUCCCCAGCGCCGACCCAGGCAGCGCAUCCCCGCACCUCCUGCCCUGCUCCAGGUGAGGAGCUCGGACCACGAUGCCUUCUGACUUGGGUGCGGAUCAAGAACAACACAUUAAGUACAGUUACCGCUCCCUUUGUUUGCCCGGCGUCUGAUUUUUAUGGUGCAGAACUAAACAGUGCCCGCUGAAUUUGACUAUGGAACCGGGCAAAUUGCUUUCCGAGAGACUUCUUCGGAGCACAGUGAUAAGGCACAACCCGCUCCUAGGUGCAGCGCCAGAUAAAUCCUUUUAACAGUCCUCAGAUCAGUUAACAGGGUGAGUAAAUCACAGAUCGCUGUUAGCAGAUUUAUGGGAGAGAAUUAAUAGAAUCAGACGAGAUAAUCUGGCGGGGAUAAAAUUGCUGAGGAAACAGUCCUGCCUUCUAUCGGGGGCAUGGAACAACGCUCUGAUUGCGGGGAGUCAGCGCGGGCCGGGGCUUCGGAGCUCAGUCAUCGCGGCGGUAAUUCGGCAUUUAUUAAUUCUUUUCUCUUCAAGCAGCUCGCAGAUGCAAAUAAAAGCCGCGCUCUCUUUGAAGACACGUCCUUUAUAUAUUUUUAUUGGAUGUAAUUUACUAUUUGCGUUACCUGUAUUUACUUCAUAAUUGAACAUUUUGCAUUCAAAUUUAUGUAACGCGCUCCGCUCGAGAAUAUAUUUCUCCCCGAUUAGCAUAAAUAGUCACUUACCUCAUGAAUUACUAACAAAGUUUAUCUGAAAAUAUAGGUGUCUUUUUUAUUAAGUGGAGCACCAACAUAUGCACCGUGAAUCCCGAUUUGCCGGCGGUGCUGCGGUGUCGGGGAAGAGGGAACAGGAGCAGCGGCGAACAAGCGCCAUCGAUUAAUAUCAGUUUUUGCAUCGGUGUUGCCGAAUCCAUCAUUUCCACUGCUUGCUUAUCGUGUUUCUAAAACACUCCAAAUAUCCCCAAUAACUCCAUAUGAUCCAGAAAGAACUCUCUCCGACUGGAGGUUGGUGCCACCAGAACUGAGAACAACCCGCGUUUUCCAGGCUUGCUUUGUAGAGUCUCGGUGCACAGAAGUGCAUGUCGUGAAGACAUCUGACAUCGUUCAGGGGCAUUCAUUGUCCACACCAAGCCGGAAUGGAAAGUUUCAUGCCCCAUUCCCCUCCUGCUCCCCGGCAUUAGCUCACCAUUGUGGUUGCCUCCAUCCGGAGUCCGGGUCAUUGGGAAACGCUAAUCCUUAACAAAAAGGAAAUGAUAAAAAUACCCAUGAAAUUAAUUUUCACACCUGCAGUCGAGAUUAAUAAGAGCAACCGGAGUGGCAUCCUAUUUCAGCUCCCUGGAGGUGACUAACAGCCCUGGCCAUGAAUAUCAUACCAACCACCAGAGGAAUUCACUGUCUGAGGGAUCCACCAUGGAAAACAAUUGAUCCCCAGAGCCACGCCUGCACAAUGGAAAACGGCUUUAGUCGUGUAUUAGUCAUUUUAUCACAGGACGGUAUUUCUGCACUGGGAAGUUUGCCCUCUGAUAUAAAGAGAGCUCAGAACAGAACAACAGCCUUUGACUUGGUAAUUUGCACACAGCUUUUCAUCACGUUUACUUUAGAAGGAUGCGUGUAAAUGACGAAGAGUAAUAAACUAAGUCUUCUACAGGCUUGUUCUUGCAA